rnacentral:rRNA from 1 species
GACGAACGCUGGCGGCGUGCCUAAUACAUGCAAGUAGAACGCUGAAGAGAGGAGCUUGCUCUUCUUGGAUGAGUUGCGAACGGGUGAGUAACGCGUAGGUAACCUGCCUUGUAGCGGGGGAUAACUAUUGGAAACGAUAGCUAAUACCGCAUAACAAUGGAUGACACAUGUCAUUUAUUUGAAAGGGGCAAUUGCUCCACUACAAGAUGAACCUGCGUUGUAUUAGCUAGUAGGUGAGGUAAUGGCUCACCUAGGCGACGAUACAUAGCCGACCUGAGAGGGUGAUCGGCCACACUGGGACUGAGACACGGCCCAGACUCCUACGGGAGGCAGCAGUAGGGAAUCUUCGGCAAUGGGGGCAACCCUGACCGAGCAACGCCGCGUGAGUGAAGAAGGUUUUCGGAUCGUAAAGCUCUGUUGUAAGUCAAGAACGGGUGUGAGAGUGGAAAGUUCACACUGUGACGGUAGCUUACCAGAAAGGGACGGCUAACUACGUGCCAGCAGCCGCGGUAAUACGUAGGUCCCGAGCGUUGUCCGGAUUUAUUGGGCGUAAAGCGAGCGCAGGCGGUUUGAUAAGUCUGAAGUUAAAGGCUGUGGCUCAACCAUAGUUCGCUUUGGAAACUGUCAAACUUGAGUGCAGAAGGGGAGAGUGGAAUUCCAUGUGUAGCGGUGAAAUGCGUAGAUAUAUGGAGGAACACCGGUGGCGAAAGCGGCUCUCUGGUCUGUAACUGACGCUGAGGCUCGAAAGCGUGGGGAGCGAACAGGAUUAGAUACCCUGGUAGUCCACGCCGUAAACGAUGAGUGCUAGGUGUUGGAUCCUUUCCGGGAUUCAGUGCCGCAGCUAACGCAUUAAGCACUCCGCCUGGGGAGUACGACCGCAAGGUUGAAACUCAAAGGAAUUGACGGGGGCCCGCACAAGCGGUGGAGCAUGUGGUUUAAUUCGAAGCAACGCGAAGAACCUUACCAGGUCUUGACAUCCCGAUGCUAUUUCUAGAGAUAGAAAGUUACUUCGGUACAUCGGUGACAGGUGGUGCAUGGUUGUCGUCAGCUCGUGUCGUGAGAUGUUGGGUUAAGUCCCGCAACGAGCGCAACCCCUAUUGUUAGUUGCCAUCAUUCAGUUGGGCACUCUAGCGAGACUGCCGGUAAUAAACCGGAGGAAGGUGGGGAUGACGUCAAAUCAUCAUGCCCCUUAUGACCUGGGCUACACACGUGCUACAAUGGUUGGUACAACGAGUUGCGAGUCGGUGACGGCGAGCUAAUCUCUUAAAGCCAAUCUCAGUUCGGAUUGUAGGCUGCAACUCGCCUACAUGAAGUCGGAAUCGCUAGUAAUCGCGGAUCAGCACGCCGCGGUGAAUACGUUCCCGGGCCU